UUUAAUUGGUUUAAGGAGAAACUGAUGGAGCUUGUAGAGUGCCCUGGAAUUGCCUGAGGGUACAGGAAAAGCACAUUUCCCUCCCCAGGAAGACUGUUUCCAUUGGGGCCUACAAGGUGAGCUGACAGU